rnacentral:misc_RNA from 1 species
ACUCUUGGAUACUAAAUUGAUGGCCAGCACACAACCUUUUAAGGAUAUCAUUAACAACACAUCCCUUGCGGAAUUGGAAAAGCGGUUAAAAGAGACACCUUUCAACCCUCCUAAAGUUGAAAGUGCCGAAGGUUUUCCAAGUUAUGACACAGCCUCUGAACAACUCCACGAGGCAGGCUACGAUGCCUACAUCACAGGGCUGUGCUUCAUCUCCAUGGCCAAUUACCUAGGUUCUUUUCUCAGCCCUCCAAAAAUUCAUGUGUCUGCCAGAUCAAAACUCAUUGAACCUUUUUUUAACAAGGUUCCGCUGGAAAUCUAGGCCUUCCUGGAAUGACACUGCUUUAUGGUCUUUCUGAGCUACCGAUGAGACAAGGAAUGAUAUGCUCUUGGACAAAUGUUUUCUCCUCUGUAAAAUGGGGAUAAAAUGAUUCACCUUCUGUAUUGGUCCAUUUUCAUGCUGCUAAUAAAGACACAACUAAGACAGGGCAAUUUACAAAAUAAAGAG